UUUUUCUUUUUUUUUUUUUUUUGAGAUAGAGUCUUGCUCUGUCGCCAGGCCAGAGUGCAUCGGUGCGAUCUUGGUUCACUGCAACCUCUGCCUCCCGGGUUCAAGCGAUUCUCUUGCCUCAGCCUCUCGAGUAGCUGGGACUACAGGUGCACACCACCACGCCCAGCUAAUUUUUGUAUUUUUAGUAGAGACAGGGUUUCACCAUGUUGGCCCGGAUGAUCUCGAUCUCCUGACCUCAUGAUCUGCCCACCUCAGCCUCCCAAAGUUUUGGGAUUACAGGUGUGAGCCACUGCACCCAGCCAAGUUUCCUUGUUUCUUUGGGUCUUCUUUUGUAAUAUAAGCCUGUUCGCUUAGUUUUCUAUUUCCUCUCACUACUUCUGCCUCAAAUUCUGUGGUGAAAAAGUUUUUAUCUCUAAGACCUUCAAACAUACUAGAUAACCUAAUAAUUUCAUAUUUCUUUAGAGGCAGCCUUCCUGCCCUAAGCAGGACCGUUUGUCAUCCAGGCUUGCUGUACAGCUGUCACCCUGUCAUGCCAGGGGACCCCUCAGCCUCACUCCUGAUCUGCAGCUCCUAUUUCCUGAACCCCACAUCUUCCUCUGCAUCGUGUACUGCCUGGUUUUGGUGGAGUAAAGGCCCUUGGGAGGUAGAUUUUUUUGAAAUCUUGCAUCUCUGAAAAUGCUUCUAUUUUUUGCUCCUCUUACCUGAUAGUUUAAUUUUUCAAGUUCAAAUCUCAAACUAUCUUCAUUAGACAAUCUGAAAACACUUCCACUACAAAGCACCUAAAAAUGCUGGAUAAAAUAGAACAAAAUCAUUUAAACACACAGCCAAGCAUCCAAGAAAAUAGGUAAAAGCCCCAGAGGCUAGGAGAAAACUAAACUCUGGGACCUAGAGUCUAUGAGCAACGUGGCACAGUUCUAGGGAGGUUGCCAUCUCAAUAACCUAGAAGUUUGGUUUUUGUUUACAGCAAGUUAGAAAAAAUAGGCUUUGAGUUUACUGGAUGCAGAAAAUGGAAACUGACAUCUCUGCAGAGAGCUGAGGCUUUUAAAGGUGAUGUGGGGAUAAAAGGGUGAACUAGCAAGACUAUAUGUCUUGGCCUGGGCUUAAAGUAGGGGGAAAACUCUUGCUUGUUAAUUUGUGGUCACUGUAUACCAUUGUUUGAGAUUUGAGUUUCUGCUACCAGCACAUUCUGGAAGAAAUGACUCCCCUUACCCAUCUGAUUCUUCUGGCCAUACAUAGCACCUUUUGCUGAUGUCUGGCUUAGGUUAAAAUGUGUUGUCUGUAGCUGUGGAUUAGGAGAAUGUUUCUCAGAGUGUAGGCUAGAGACUACUUGUAUUGGAAUCUCUGGGGAACUUGUUAAAGAUUCAGAUUCUUAGGCCUUACCCUAGAGCUAACAAAUCAGAACAUCCGGGAGACUACAUUUUUAACAAGUUUCCCAAGUAGUCCUUGGACACCUUAAAACUUGAGGCCUCUUGAUUAAAGCCAAGCUUAGUGACUCUUAGAGGGCCUUUGCUUUCAAAGCUCAGCAGGUCAGUGGAGGAAUUGGCUGGAGCUGGUCCUGGACUGAUCAAGUACACACUUGAUCUCAGCCAAAUCACAGAGAAGUGAUGAACCGACCAAGUAUAAAGAGGCUCCAAACAACGUGCACGCACCCAGCACCUGGCCCUUUCACUUUUAGGCAUUGGUGCUCUGGAGAAACUCCUGAGCAUGUGCACAAGGCAAGCAGUACAAGGAUAUUCACUACAACGUGGUUUAUAGUAGUGAAACAACUCGGUGGCCC
ensembl:lncRNA